rnacentral:rRNA from 1 species
UGGGGGAUAUUGCACAAUGGAGGAAACUCUGAUGCAGCGACGCCGCGUGAGUGAAGAAGUAUUUCGGUACGUAAAGCUCUAUCAGCAGGGAAGAUGAUGACGGUACCUGACUAAGAAGCCCCGGCUAACUACGUGCCAGCAGCCGCGGUAAUACGUAGGGGGCAAGCGUUAUCCGGAUUUACUGGGUGUAAAGGGAGCGCAGGCGGCCUGGUAAGUUGGGAGUGGAAGCACGGGGCUCAACCCCGUGACUGCUUUCAAAACUACGAGGCUUGAGUAUGGGAGAGGCAAGCGGAAUUCCUAGUGUAGCGGUGAAAUGCAUAGAUAUUAGGAAGAACACCGGUGGCGAAGGCGGCUUGCUGGACCAAAACUGACGCUGAGGCUCGAAAGCGUGGGUAGCAAACA